GAUGAACGUUGGCGGCGUGCCUAACACAUGCAAGUCGAACGGGAAGUUCCUUUACGGAGGGACGGAAAGUGGCGCACGGGUGCGUAACACGUAGCUAACCUGCCCCGAAGACCGGGACAACCGCUGGAAACGGCGGCUAAUACGGGAUAGGGCGAGUAUGGGGGGACCCGUACUGGCGAAAGGCUGGACCGGAAGGUUUGGCGCUUUGGGAGGGGGCUGCGGCCCAUCAGCUGGAUGGCGGGGUAACGGCUCACCAUGGCGAUGACGGGUAGGGGAUCUGAGAGGGUGGUCCUCCACACCGGGACUGAGACACGGCCCGGACUCCUGCGGGAGGCAGCAGUGAGGGAUAUUGCGCAAUGGGCGAAAGCCUGACGCAGCGACGCCGCGUGGGUGAUGAAGGUUUUCGGAUCGUAAAGCCCUUUUCUGUGUGACGAAGCUGACGGUAGCACAGGAACAAGUGUCGGCUAACUACGUGCCAGCAGCCGCGGUAACACGUAGGACMCGAACGUUAUCCGGAAUUACUGGGCGUAAAGGGCGCGCAGGCGGUGCUACAAGACGGACAUGAAAGCCCGGGGCUCAACUCCGGGAGGCUGUCGGUGACUGUAGCACUUGAGGGUGAGAGAGGGGUGUGGAAUUCCGCGUGUAGUGGUGAAAUGCGUAGAGAUGCGGAGGAACACCAGAGGCGAAGGCGGCACCCUGGCUCACGACUGACGCUGAGGCGCGAAAGCAUGGGUAGCGAACGGGAUUAGAAACCCCGGUAGUCCAUGCCGUAAACGAUGUGCACUCGAUGUCCGGAUUGCUACGGCAGUCUGGGUGUCCCAGCGAACGCGGUAAGUGCACCGCCUGGGGAGUACGGUCGCAAGGCUAAAACUCAAAGGAAUUGACGGGGGCCCGCACAAGCAGCGGAGCGUGUGGUUUAAUUCGAGGCUACGCGAAGAACCUUACCCGGGGUUUGACAUCACCGGUGGUAGGGACCUGAAAGGGGACUGACCUCCGGGAGCCGUGACAGGUACUGCAUGGCUGUCGUCAGCUCGUGCCGUGAGGUGUUCGGUUAAGUCCGAAAACGAGCGCAACCCCUGGUGCCAGUUACAAGUGUCUGGCGCGACUGCCCGUGACAAACGGGAGGAAGGUGGGGAUGACGUCAAGUCAGCAUGGUCUGUAUAUUCGGGGCUACACACACGCUACGAUGGGCGGUACAACGGGUAGCGAAGGGGCGACCUGGAGCCAAUCCUGAAAAGCCGUUCCCAGUUCGGAUUGCAGGCUGCAACCCGCCUGCAUGAAGUCGGAGUUGCUAGUAACCGCCGGUCAGCACACGGCGGUGAAUACGUUCCCGGGCCUUGUACACACCGCCCGUCACGUCAUGGAAGCUGGUCAUGCCUGAAGUCGGGAGGCGAACCCCUUUUGGGGGGCGCUACCGCCGAGGGCGGGGCUGGUGACCGGGACG
rnacentral:rRNA from 1 species